rnacentral:lncRNA from 1 species
UGAAACUGAGUUUCAGGAUGCAAGAUACUGUUCAGAUAGUUCUGCAAUACAUUCUUCAGACCCAGCAACUUUGGCAGGCCCGUGGAUGAUGGAAUAACCAGAUCUCUGCGGCCACCCCUGAAAAACAGAUUCUUUCUUCUGGAUUCCCUGGGAUUCUCUCAGCAGCCAGCCUUGUUUACAGAAGUCAGCGCGGACAGUAACAGCCCUUCACCAAUGAGCCACAGUGGAACCUUUGGGGAAGGCUCCUCACGGUGCUCUGUCAUCUGCUGACAAAGUGGUGCCAGGACCAGAACUUCACAAUGAACUCUGCAGAGAAAAAUCCACAGCAGAUGAAGGAAUCUCGAAGUCAGUGACAGGUAGACUCAGGCUUAAAGUGAGAGGAUCCCCCACGUCACUGGUUUCAACUAGAGGAUACGUCUGUGCUAUGAGAAUACUCAGUAUGAGAAACGUGCUGCGAAACAGAGGCAGCCAGUUGGAGCAGUGCUUCAGACUAAGCUGAGGUCAGUUUUAGAAUCACAGAAUACUUCAGGCUGGACAGGAACUCUUGAUGUCACCUCAAUCCACGCCCUGCUCAAAGAAGGUCUCACUACGUCAGAUCGCUCAAGGCUGCAGCCAGUCAAGUUGAACCCUCAAAUGGGGAGCCUCUGCUGAAUGCUGGUUACUGCAAGGUACUGGUUAAACGAAUUCAUAUGCAAAAAUAUUCUUACUUUUU